ACUGAACGCUGGCGGCAUGCUUUACACAUGCAAGUCGAACGGUAACAGGGAGCUUGCUCCGCUGACGAGUGGCGAACGGGUGAGUAGUGCGUCGGAACGUGCCGAGUAGUGGGGGAUAACGCAUCGAAAGGUGUGCUAAUACCGCAUACGCACUGAGGUUGAAAGUGGGGGACCUUCGGGCCGCACGCUAUUCGAGCGGCCGACGUCUGAUUAGCUAGUUGGUGAGGUAAAGGCUCACCAAGGCGACGAUCAGUAGCGGGUCUGAGAGGAUGAUCCGCCACACUGGGACUGAGACACGGCCCAGACUCCUACGGGAGGCAGCAGUGGGGAAUUUUGGACAAUGGGCACAAGCCUGAUCCAGCCAUGCCGCGUGUCUGAAGAAGGCCUUCGGGUUGUAAAGGACUUUUGUCCGGGAGCAAAUGCUGGUGGCUAACAUCCACCGGAGCUGAGAGUACCGGAAGAAUAAGCACCGGCUAACUACGUGCCAGCCGCCGCAGUAAGAC
rnacentral:rRNA from 1 species